rnacentral:tRNA from 1 species
UUAAUUGAAGCCAAAGCAGAGGCAUUUCAUUGUUAAUGAAAAGAAUGAUAUAUAAAUCCAAUUAAA